AGUAUCAUACAAAUACAGACAAACAUUCUCAUUGGUCGGAUGCUGCCAAGUUCACACGUUUGGCUAUUAUUUCUAGCCUUCUACCCUAAACAACAACAGUACUGUGUCAAACUUGACAAACCUUUUGAACGCUGGA